rnacentral:rRNA from 1 species
GACGAACGCUGGCGGCGUGCCUAAUACAUGCAAGUCGAGCGGAUCAUUGGAAGCUUGCUUCCUUUGAUUAGCGGCGGACGGGUGAGUAACACGUGGGCAACCUGCCUGUAAGACUGGGAUAACACCGGGAAACCGGUGCUAAUACCGGAUAAUCCACUUCCUCACAUGAGGGAGUGCUGAAAGACGGCGUAAGCUGUCACUUACAGAUGGGCCCGCGGCGCAUUAGCUAGUUGGUGAGGUAACGGCUCACCAAGGCGACGAUGCGUAGCCGACCUGAGAGGGUGAUCGGCCACACUGGGACUGAGACACGGCCCAGACUCCUACGGGAGGCAGCAGUAGGGAAUCUUCCGCAAUGGACGAAAGUCUGACGGAGCAACGCCGCGUGAGUGAUGAAGGUUUUCGGAUCGUAAAACUCUGUUGAUAGGGAAGAACAAGUAUCGGAGUAACUGCCGGUACCUUGACGGUACCUAACCAGAAAGCCACGGCUAACUACGUGCC